GGGGAAGUUGUGCCGGGCCUCGCACCACUCCAACGUUGCGGGGCAGCCUCGGGGCUCCGAGCGCUGUCUCAGCUUUUACAAGCCUGCCUACAGCCGGACCUGGUGACACCAGAACCCUCUGACGCUGUUACCAUCACCUGCCACAAGGACAGAGACACACAUGGUGGUGAACUCUGUUCUCUGUUCCACCACCAGAAGGGACCACGUGUUCCAUCAGCGUGGAACAGCCGUGACGCAGUGUCAUCGUCACCGCGUAUCACUUUUGGCAGCUGGCAUAGGGUGUCACUGUCAUGCAGAGGGGACAAAAGGACCCCCCUGGGAACAUUGUGCCAAAGUUGGGCACACUGUGACCAGCUGGAGGACUUCCCAGGCAAAGUGGGGACACUGCAUCACGGUGUCACACCCCCAAAGUUGGGGACACCCACAUGUCACCCACAGAGUGUCGCAUGCCAAAGUUGUGUCCUGAGUGUGUCACACUCCAAUGUUGAGGACACCCCCAGUGUCACACUGUGAAGUUGGGGACACCUCUGUCAUCCCUAUGGUGUCACACCCCAAAGCUGGGGACACCUUCAUGUUAUCCUGGUGGUGUCACACCCCAAAGUUGGGGACACUCCUCUGGGGACCACAUCUGUAUCCACCCCCACAGACCACACUGUUCCCAUUGGGCAGGGGCCAGGCAAGGCAAAGCAAGGCAAGGCAAGGAAAGCCAAGGCCAGGCCAGGCCAGGCAAGGCAAGGCCAGGCCAGGCCAGGCAACGAACAGUAAUUCAGUGCAAGGCCAGAAAGGCUAGUCAAGGAAUGGCAGGGCAAUGUCAGGCCAGGGAAGGCAGGCAACGUCGGCCAGGCCAGGCCAGGCAAGGCAAGGCCAGGCAAGGCAAGGCUUGGCCAGGCCAGGCCAGGCAAGGCAAGGCCAGGCAAGGCAAGGCUUGGCCAGGCCAGGCAAAAUUAGGCAAGGCAAGACAAGGCCAGGCCAGGCCAGGCAAGGCAAGGCAAUGCAAUGCAAAGCCAGAAAAGGUAAGGCAAAGCAAGGCCAGGCCAAACAAGGCAAGGCAAUG
rnacentral:lncRNA from 1 species